rnacentral:rRNA from 1 species
GAUGAACGCUGGCGGCGUGCCUAAUACAUGCAAGUCGAGCGAACGGACGAGAAGCUUGCUUCUCUGAUGUUAGCGGCGGACGGGUGAGUAACACGUGGAUAACCUACCUAUAAGACUGGGAUAACUUCGGGAAACCGGAGCUAAUACCGGAUAAUAUUUUGAACCGCAUGGUUCAAAAGUGAAAGACGGUCUUGCUGUCACUUAUAGAUGGAUCCGCGCUGCAUUAGCUAGUUGGUAAGGUAACGGCUUACCAAGGCAACGAUGCAUAGCCGACCUGAGAGGGUGAUCGGCCACACUGGAACUGAGACACGGUCCAGACUACUAAGGGAGGCAGCAGUAGGGAAUCUUCCGCAAUGGGCGAAAGCCUGACGGAGCAACGCCGCGUGAGUGAUGAAGGUCUUCGGAUCGUAAAACUCUGUUAUUAGGGAAGAACAUAUGUGUAAGUAACUGUGCACAGCUUGACGGUACCUAAUCAGAAAGCCACGGCUAACUACGUG